CCGAGUUAUCAACUCCCAAACCCCUGUGAACAUACCUUUUGUUGCCUCGGCGGGAUCGCCCCGGUGCCUCCGGGCCCGGAACCAGGCGCCCGCCGCAGGACCCAAACUCUUGUUUUCUAUAUGAAUCUUCUGAGUGACACAAGCAAAUAAAUUA
rnacentral:misc_RNA from 1 species